rnacentral:rRNA from 1 species
AAUACAUGCAAGUCGAACGGUCUUUAGCAAUAGAGAUAGUGGCGCACGGGUGCGUAACGCGUAACCAACCUACCUGAAUCUGGGGGAUAGCCCGCCGAAAGGCGGAUUAAUACCGCAUAAAACUGCAGAACGGCAUCGUUUANAGUUAAAGAUUUAUUGGAUUCAGAUGGGGUUGCGUGCCAUUAGCUAGUUGGGGGAGGUAACGGCUCACCNAGGCGACGAUGGCUAGGGGAGCUGANAGGCUGGUCCCCCACNCGGGCACUGAGAUACNGGCCCGACUCCUACNGGANGCAGCAGUAGGGAANNNUGGGGCAAUGGGACGAGAGUCUGACCCANCCNUGCCGCGUGGCA